GGGGUGGGAAAGUGAAUAAUAUGAGGAUGAUUUAGUAAUUACGUAAAGUUAAUAAGUGAAUUAAAUUUGGAAAGAGGAUGCGUUGGAAAUAAAGAAAAAGAGAGAGAGAGAGAGAGAGAGAGAUUAGGUUUACGAUGGUGCAUGUGGAGAGGAAGUGGAACAGGCUGUUAAACUGCGAGAGUGACCCCAUGAAGGCGACUUCAUUAGGAAACAGACAAUCCCACCUCUCCAUCUCUCUCCAUCAACCCCGUCCCGUUCUAACGUACACCUUUAUUCCUCUCUCUCCCUUUGGGAAAUCAUCACAUGCUCAUGCUUCCACGCUCCUUACCAUGGUCCCACUCCCAUCACCCUUCACCACGUGCUCCUUCCUUCACCCCUACUCUUACUUCUAGUUUAGCUCUGCCACCUCAUCAACCUCUUCCACCCCCACGUGAUAUUUACUACUCAUUUCAAUUUUUUAUCCUUUAAUUAAUUACUGUUACAGAUUAUCUAACU
rnacentral:lncRNA from 1 species